ACGUAGUAGAUAAUUAAGUUUACGAUAAAAUUAAGAUGGUGAACAAAAAUACUCUCUAAAUAAAAGUGUAUUUGAAAGGUCUUCUAACAACGGCAACAACAACUACAAUAAUAACAAUGAAAGCGUAGUGGGCGACCUCAACAAACAAACCUUUGGUCCUUUUUCGUUUCAUGAUUCCAUUUCCCUAGUCCGAAUACACAGUAAGGAGAAAACAAAAAAGUCUUAGGAAAUUAAAACAAAAGUAAAGAGAAAACAACAAGUUUUAGGAAAUCAAACUUCUCAAUAAGGGACUAUGAUCAUGAUAAAACAUCAUACAGGACAAAGUACAGUAGAGGAUUUUGUUUUGAUUCGUUCAAUAAUUGUUGCAGCCAAUUAACUGCCAUGACUUCGUUUAGGAAACCAGGCAGCUCGGACCCCUUCCUUUGACUUCUUGAUCUUGACAAAACAUUUUAGCCAAGGUGGUUUUCCCACAUCCUCCAGCAGCAGUCAGCACAAGCAUAGACACCUUUUCAUCCUUAAGGAGCUUCAUCUUCAACUCCUUCAACGGCAAAUCCAACCUGACUGUAACUGAUGGCGGUUCAGGCACCAGACGAACACUUCACCUUUUGUGGCUGAUUAGAUUAGUUUUUAUCACCAAACUCUCUUCUAUUCGAGAGAGAAUCAAAGUUUCCCUAAAUAUGUAUGUGGAUUCAGUCGUAAUGGGUGCUCUGAGAACGGCAUUUCAAAUGCUGGUUGAUGCUAUAAAAUCAGUGCAGGAGGAGAAUACAGUGUUCCAACACCUCCUGAGAGACAUCAAAUCUACACUGGACUCUCUACAACCACUCAUAAAAAAAUAUAACGCGAAAGAGGGACUAUAAAAUUUUGCAAUACAGACAGAGGAGGGAGCAAAUCUUGUUCAAAAGUCCACACGCCAACUUUGCUGCACUUUUGAACAAGAUUUGCUCCCUCCUCCAUCUGUAUUGCAAAUUUGCAGUCCCUCUUUCGGGUUAUAUUUUUUUAUGAGUGGUUGUAGAGAGUCAAGUGUGGAUUUGAUGUUUCUGGGGAGGUGUUCGAACAUUGUAUUCUCCUCCUCAGCUGGUUUCACAGCACAAACCGCAUUUAAAAUGCCGUGACCAAAGCCACAUACAUAAUUACGAAAAGAAAGAGACUCAAAACUCAAUUCUCUUACAUAAUCUGAUGAAAGAACAGAAAUUCCAAUGGAUUUACGGAGAGAGAGUAAAAUAAUCUAGCUUGAUGAGAAACUGAGGAUGUUAUGUAAGUUGUUUCUUCGCGACUCGGAGUUUCAGCACACAUAUAUACAACUCAACGAACGUGUUGACCAAAUAAAAAACACGGAAUUAGGAGGCGGGAUGAGACACGGAAUUUUAAAAAUUGAUCCUAUUUUUUUUAUAACAUAAAAGUCGGUGGUUCUAGAGCUGCGUGUGGCCUCUGAGUAGGCUGCGCGUCUGGACUUGGUUUGGUGGUUUGCACGACUUUGUUUUGUAUUGUUUUGUGGACCUCUUUUGUUGUUUUUUGUUUUUAUGAUUAAUAAAAAUUCAUGGAAUGUUUUUGUUUAAAAUUUUAUUUUGUAAAACUCUUUUUUUUUUUUUCAUUUUCAUUAAAUAAAGUUGAGUUAGUGUAUUUUUUUUUCUCUUUUCAUUGAAUAAAGUUAUUCGGAUGCUUUUGGUUUAAAAAAGUUUUAUAAGAGCCCUUAUCAUUAAAGCUCCCAAGAAAUUACGCUAGCAACUCUCUCAUUUUCCUUACCAAAAUCUUAGAUCCACAAAAUAUAUAGACUCUGGCUCGUUGCUCCAACUUAAGGUUGGUGAAAGCCCUUCUCCCUUCCCCUCGCCUUACUAUUUUCUCUUCCCAUAGAUUGUUGUAGAUUUAUUUUCGUUUUAGUAUUUAUGUUAAUAAGAGGCUUCUUGGUGAGUUAUUAGUGAGUCUCUCCUAUUGAGUAUUUUAGUUUUAUUAUUGCUGUGUUAUUGGCUCUUCUUGGGUCUACUUUAGUGUUCUUAGUAGCUUCGUUGAUGGUGUUGAGAAAAAAAUCCGGGGAGACAUUAUUUGGGUCAUUGCCAGUUUCUCUUCGAGUUAGCAUUGCUCGUUGCAAAUAAUGUCUUUAGCAUGUUCGUUAUGUUGCAAUUUCGUGCAUAUAAUUUGCUAAGUGCUUGACUGUUUCUUCAUGAACGAAGUUUUUUUUGGCUUUGGAGUGCCAUCUUAGUCUUUCGAGUUUAAGUGUGGACGACUUCAAGACCUGAAUGCUUUCCUUUGCUUAUUCUUGUGCUUGUUUUGCUCUCAUAUCCACCAAUACGGUGGCAACUAGUUUAGCCAAUUUGACCCUUAGAACAUCUAGACACCAUUUUGUAAUUAUUUAAUUUUUAGUUUUUGUUUGCACUUAUUUUUUAAACUAAAAAAUUUUAGUAACGACCUUUAGUUUUCUGUUAAAAAGAAAUGAAAAUUGAAAACUACAAGGCCGAUUGAUCAUUAUUUCAUUUUCAAUUUUGUUUUAUGUUUUCUGAAAUUGAAAACUUGCUUGGUAACUACUUUCAAUUUGUAGUUUUUAAAAGCUAACUAUUUAAAUUAAAAAAAUUGGAAUUUCAAGAAAACUAAAUAUUGAAAUUAGUUAUGUUUUGAAAUAUAUCAAUAGUUAUUUUUUAAAAUAUGUUAAUAAUUAUGUGGGUACAAUAUUUUUCUGCCAUAAUUUUGUGAAAAACAAUAUUACUAUAUUAUUGAUUUUUACGUAUUUAUUAUAUUUAAAAAAUAUUAUUUGAAUUUUUUAAAUUUCAUAAUUUGUGCGAUAUUAAAUGCAUAAAUGCAUGAGUUAAAUCUCUUAAAUGAUGCUAAGGACCUCAAUCAAAAUAUUUAAACAAACAAGGUUUCAGUCUAACAAUUAAGCUGAUUAGUGACCGAAACCAAAAUGACCCUUAUAUUAAACUCAUCUUCACAUGCCAUGCUAUAUCAUAUCGUCCCUUCACAUGUUGGUUAUCCUUGAUAAUAUGUAGCUUACCACAUAACCCCUAAAUUGAUUAUUCUAUCCUAAUGACUUGCCAUACAUUUAUCCCUCAGAUAAUCCCACACUAACGUUCUUAUACUUCAAUAAUAUUUCCAAAUAUCCACAUAUCAUCACUAUAUAUAAUAACUUUAAAUAUGCAUGUCACCAAAUCCAACUUGCUUGACUUGAAAUAGAGAGAUAUUUGUAAAUAGAGUAAAAUCACAUGAUAACUCAUGGUUUUUAGUUAUUAAAAAAUAAGAGUAGUUUGAACACCACACCUUACAUAAACCACUCACCUCAAUCAAUAGCUAAAACCUCGGCAAGACAACCCAUGUACUGAUCCCCAUGAAUCCAACUUAAUAACCCUAGCUUUCUUUCUCCUUUCUUUCUUUUAUCUCUCUCUGUGUAAUAUACACACACGCAUGUAUAUAUAUAACUAUGAGAACUAAAUCAUUGGCAUGCUGCAUGCAUAUUCUAUAUGAAACCAUUAAGUUCACAUUUGGAAACCCAACGGUACUAUCUAUUUAUAGUAGAAGAUGUCGGCUCCUACACUUAGAGACUAAGUAAUAAUAUCAAUAUGAAACCAUUAAGUUCACAUUUGGAAACCAAACGGUCCACCUAUUUAUAUUAGAAAAGGUCGGCUCCAGCCCUUAGAGACUAAGUAAUAAUUUUAAUAUGAAACCAUUCAGUUCACAUUUGGAAACCAAACGUUACUACCUAUUUAUAGUAGAAAAGGUCGCUCCAACACUUAGGGACUAAGUAAUAGUUUUAAUAUAAUAUGAGUAGAUAUAUAGGUGCUACAGAUUUGUUCUCAAACCAAAGGAAGAUAACUCUUUUCCUUAUGUCGACUGGUCCUGCUUCUAAAAACAUGAAUCAUGCACGCACCUCUCUUGCUUCUGCUUGUGCCCCAAUUAGUUUGAACUAUAUGCAUAGGACACCUAUUCACAUACUUGCCACCUCAAGCUAAAACAAAUGAAAUCUUAGAUAGGAAGAAUGCCACCACCUAUAGACAGCUCUACCGUACUACACCUCCUAAUAACACCUCACGCUAAGCCAAUAUGGUGAGUCAACAACGUGUACUGAAACUUCAGUAUGAUAAAUAUACAUAAAUAGCUUGUAACUUUAAUUGCUAAGUAAGUAUAUAUACAUGAGGAAUACUAGCAAAAUAAAAUGAAAAACAAACUUCUGUUUAUUCCACUAAUCCGAAAAACCUUACAAUUGUACAAUAUAUAUAUAUAUAUAUAUAUAUAUAUAUAUAUAUAUAUAACCCUUAAAUCUUUCGUCUAACACAAUUUCAGCUCGUCUAGCACCUAUUUUGUCAAAUAACUCAUCUGUAAAUAAAAGGGUGAGCGGUACUGAGCAACAACCACCGUUGCUUAGUGAGUAAAACAUGUAAUAUGUCAGUUAAGCAAUGUCAUUUUAUACACGCUAGAAAAUAUGAGAAUAAUAUCAAAGCUUUAGCCACAUAAUUUCACAUCACAUCAUCACUUUACGCAAUCAUUAUAUCUUUCAUCAAAUAUACAACUCACCAUAUGGUUUUGAGGAAUGUAUAGACUGCUAUAAAGGCAAGACUACCAAUCUUAGUAACAAAACUCAAGCCACAAGAAGUAAUGAUCUCUUAGAGAUCAUUCACACUGAUGUAUGUGGUCCAUUUCCAGCUAGAACCGUCUGUGGAAACUCACAUUUUGUCCUCUUCAUUGAUGAUUUCUCAAAAUCCACUUAUUUGUAUUUGAUUUCUGAAAAAUCUCAAGUUUUAAAUUGUUUUAAAAUUUUCAAAGUUGAGGCUGAAAAACAAUUAGAAGGACCAUUUGCCUUAUACCUCUAGAAAAAUGGGAUUGCAGCUGAUCAAUACACAACCCUAGGGACACCAUCUCAAAAUGUUGUUUCUGAGAGGAGAAAUAGAACCCUCGUUCAAAAGAAUGGUGAGGAGUAUGAUGUCACACUCCCACUUGCCUAAGUUCUUAUGGGGAGAAUCCAUUAAAACUGCAAAUUAUAUAUUGAAUAGAGUGCCUACAAAAGUUGUUAAGGUCACUCCUAUUGAAGUCUUGAUGGGUAGAAAACCAAGCUUGUCACACUUUCAUACAUGGGGAUAUCAAUGUGAAGCCCGAAUCUACAAUCCAAAUGAAAGGAAAUUGGAUUUGAAAACAACAAGUUGUUACUUUGUUGGAUAUGCACAGGAGUCAAAAGGUUUUCGAUUUUAUUGUCCUCGUCAUUAUACCAGAAUUGCAGAAAGUCACAAUGCCAUACAUUGAAAAUUAUGAGGAAACUUGUGUAUCAAGUAACAUAUCCUAUGUUUUUUAGGAGAGAAAUGAAGAUGCAUAAGAAAUUAGGAAUGCUUCUGAGAUGAAUCAAUCCAUUUUGUUACCAUUGGCUCCUAUACAAAUUGGACCAAGUUCAAUUUCAACUACAACAGUUAAUGCACAACAUAUAAGUGGAAAUGUGGGAGCUUGUACCAACUUGCAAGAACCUGCACUGUCUCUUCCAACACCACCAACUAUAAUUCAAGACAAUAUAUUUCCCUCUUGAGAAACACAUCAUGAUUAGUAAUUACCAAGUAUGCCUGAGCCUUCACAGGUUGUGAGAAAAUCCACAAGAUUUACAUGGUUUAUUUGCAAGAAAUAGAAUAUGAUAUUGGUGAUGAAAAUGAUCCUACAAGUUUUAAAGAGGCUAUGUAAAGUACUAAUUCUAGUUUAUAGAAAGUUGCAACUGGUUUCAAUGCACAAAAACACAGUUUGAACUUUAGUUAAAGAUGCAGAAAACUUGAAAUCCAUAGGUUGCAAAUGGAUUUUCAAGACAAAACAUGAAUUAUAAGGAAAUGUUGAAAGGUUUAAGGCAAGGUUGGUGAUAAAAGAAUUCACUCAGAGAGAAGGAGUGGAUUAUAAUGAAACAUUUUCUGUAGUAUCUACCAAAGACUCUUUUAGAGUUAUUAUGACACUCACUGCACAUUUCAAUCUUAAAUUACAUCAGAUGGAUGUAAAAAUUGCAUUUCUUAAUGGAGAAUUGGAAAAGAACAUUUAUAUGAAACAACCUCUUGGAUUCAUUGAAGGGGAGAAAGGAAAAUUGGGUCUGUAAGUUGAACAAAUCGAUAUAUGGUUUGAAACAAGCUUGGAGAAAAUGGUACAAGAAAUUUGAUCAAGUUGUCAUAGCUUUUGGUUUUGCAGAAAAUAAAAUUAACAAUUGCAAGUAUAUGAAAAUUGUGAAGUCCAUCUUCAUUUUUCUGGUUUCGUAUGUGGAUGACAUUUUGUUAGCUAGUACCAAUGUUAAUUAUUGAAUGUAACCAAGAAACCAUUGUCUAGUCAUUUUGAUAUGAAGGAUAUGGGACAAGCUCAUAAUAUUUUGGGGAUUGAAAUUGUGGAUGCAAAUUUCUUCCUCCUUGUUCAUGGACAAAAUUGCACCUACAAAACAAAUAACACCUUAGGUCAAGGCCAAGAGUCUCACGUGCCCACGAUGAAUGGGGGGGCUUUGACAAAAGAACCUUCGAUGCCAAAGUUAGAAUUUUGAAGGAAAAGUGUUUGGAGAAUUUAGAGAAUUUAGCAAGAGAAUAGGAAUUGAGUUUUGGAGAAAAUGAGGGUGUUUAUAUAGGGGUGUGGCCGGCCCCUUUGGGAGGAGAUGGACCGGCCACUUGGAUGGUUUUUUGGGUGACAUUCAUGAUUUGUAGCUAAUUAGUAAAUUAAUUGAAUAAUAAAUCAAUUAAUUAGCUAAUUAAUAUAAUUAAAAAGGAAUGAUUUGGGGGUUACCUUGUGGAGAAGAUUUGACGAGGAUGGAUGAAAUAGGUUUUGAAUAAAUACCUAUUUUGGGCACUUUUGACUUGAUUGAGGGAUGGUUGUCCACUGCUUGUACGUAGGAGUUCCGGUGUUCCUCGAGGGUAAUUUUGUCCUUUUUACCCUAGAAUCCAUGUGUUGCCUCCAUAUUCUUCCUGAUUAUUUUUGGCUCCACAAAUGCACCCACACCUGUUAAGUUGCUCGCAAGAAAGGGCAACAGGUGUUGAGAUCUUCUUGCUUUAGGAAACGUAGAAUUGUUUCCUAUACUGAUGUAGAUUCCCUCUUUAAUUAGAAAUUAGAUCCUUCUAGGAAAGGGAAAUAAAUCACUGUUAAAGUCUAAUUAAGUAUACCUUAAGUAGAUGAUUAAAUCAACUUUAGAGAGCAAUUUAUUCUACCAUACAAAAGAGAGAAAGCUAAAGGAUAUUUGUUCCCCCUCCCCUAGCAAUCUUCUACACUUUCUCGUGCAAAGGACUGUCUUUCGUUGCUUUCUUCGUCUUCUCCGUGCCGCACCAAGGUAAGAAAAAUUUAAUUUUCCUUGUAUUUUUCUUGGACAGUGUUGUCGCGGGGUAACCAUCGAGGUGGUGUAGCAUGUCGGCUGGCAGGGGCCAAGAGUCUGCUCGGCAUGGGCCGAGGAGUGUUAUGGCAGGGACCACUGCUUGGGCUGCUCAACUUGGCUAGAGGCAAGGGCAACUGCGCGACUGGGGUCGUGGAUUGAGGUGCUAGGG
rnacentral:lncRNA from 1 species